rnacentral:misc_RNA from 1 species
GAUGAAGAACGUAGUGAAAUGCGAUAAGUAGUGUGAAUUGCAGAAUUCAGUGAAUCAUCGAAUCUUUGAACGCACAUUGCGCCCGCCAGUAUUCUGGCGGGCAUGCCUGUUCGAGCGUCAUUUCAACCCUCAAGCCCAGCUUGGUGUUGGGGAUCGGCACAGGCGCCCUCGGGCGCCCGCCGUCCCCUAAAUCUAGUGGCGGUCCCGCUGCAGCCUCCUCUGCGUAGUAGUUUUCUCCUCGCAAGGGCAGCUCGGUGGCGACCUCGCCGUAAAACCCCCAACUUCUGAAAGGUUGACCUCGAAUCAGGUAGGAAUACCCGCUGAACUUAAGCAUAUCAAUAAGCGGAGGA